CAAUCUGCUGCUCGCAUCACACCGGAAGUUGGCAGAGAAGCACAAGGCUUUGGUGGCCGAAUAGCAGAACAAGACCGGGGACGACGCACAAGUGUCGGAGUUGCUGACGCGCGUUGCGGAGGUGCAAGGGGAGAAAACUCAGCUAAUAGAGCAGCACCGAGAUGAGGUGGCCCGGCUAAGGGCGCAACUUGAAGCGCGGGCUGAGGCGCAUAAGGCCGAGGUAGUCCAACUUACCUCGGCGCUUUCUGCACAAGCCGACGAGAAGAUCCGCCUGGAAUGCGAAGUCCAAAAAUACAAGGAUUUUCUCGCCAAAGCCGAGACUCCAGCCACUGCUGCUGAAGAGGAGAAGACCGAGAGCACCCAUAUGCUAAGCGUGUGCACACGGAUCUCGGCAAGAUAGAUGGACUGCUGGCCAAAAUCUUCCCGGAUUCUACCGAAGCUGCUCAGGCCGCCGUGAUCAAAGCUCGCGGGAAGAGGGAUUCGUCCAAGGCAUUGCCCUCGGAGUACGACGUGGAUGAUUAUCUCAUCAGCAUCUGGACUCGGGUCAAGCCUUUGAAGGCUUUCGGGGUUGACAUGCUUAAUGCCGGCAUCCGCGCAUUCCGAGCUCUUUGGCCUGGAGAGGAAGCGCCGAGUGGCAUCCCGGAGUUAGCCAAGCGUCUCCUGGAGGUGGAGGACCGGCUAAGCGAGUGGCGGGAGUCGGCCGCUCGUGUCGGCACCGACGAGGUACUGUCGUUCGUACUUUCUUGGUACGAUGGCAUUAACCUCGAUGUGGUGCAGUCCAUGCGCGUCGGUUCUCCCUUCCGCUCGGACCCAGAGUUGAUUGCAAAGCGUCAAGAACGGGCCUGCUCCUUCAUCCAGUAUGCCAACGAGCAUACUUUUGUGGAGGGCCCGAGAUCGGACGCAGACGAGGAGGCGGCCGAGGAAGAAGAAGAGGAGGUAGACGAAGAAAUCGUGGCCGAGUCGCCUCCCGCCGCAACAAAUGCUCCGAGUGCCGGCACCAAUGAUCCUGCUGCCUGAAGUCAUGCCUAGUGAUGUCGGCAAAAACUUUUUAAAACUGUUAGAUCCCCGGGAUGCCGGGUGCAGAUGUAAAUACUUUGAAGUACUUUUAGUUGUGAUGCACAAUAUUUUGA